rnacentral:tRNA from 1 species
UUAAUUGAAACCAAAAUAGAGGUUUAUCACUGUUAAUGAUAUAAAUGGGUCAUAACCCCCAAUUAAA